GUGCUCGCUUGGGCAGCACAUAUACUAAAAUUGGAACUACACAGAGAUUAGCAUGGCCCCCGUGUAAGGAUGACAUGCAAAUUAGUGAAACAUAGUUCUUAUGU